rnacentral:tRNA from 1 species
AGUCUUAUAUUCAAAUUAUUGAUUUUAAAUUGCAAAUUUAAAGGUGGAUAGAUCCUAAGGCUU